CACCAUAGAGAUGAGAUUGACAGAGACAAGCCUAAUAUGAACCAACAAGAGCUGGAUUUCAACUACAUGAGCAAAAGAAGAGUCCCAAAUGGAUCAGAUCCUAUCCAUAACAGAAGAGCUGGAAAUUCAGGUCGACCUCCUGGCGAAGCCUAGUAGUGUUCUCGGAAUAUGACAAAGCUUCAUCAGCAACCUCGCAGAACUGAAGAUGACAAGCUUUUUCUCAGGAAAAUGAUAUUUUCACCCCCAAGGAACGAACAGAUCAAGAAGAAAAGUGAGGAGGAGGAGGACGAGGAGGAGAAGAAGAUGGCUUGUCUCAGAGAUAAUAAGCUCAAAAGAAUUGAAGGAGAGAGAUUAUUAAGUUUCUGGAGAAACUUCUCGAUUUAGCGACUAAGUAUGAGUGUGUAUGUAUAUAUAUGUAUUUUUUUUUGAAAGGAUCGAUCGCUCUUGUUCUUAAAAGCUUUCAUAAGUACAGGUUACUUAUCGACUGACAA